GUAGGUGGCAAGCGUUGUCCGGAAUUAUUGGGCGUAAAGCGCGCGCAGGCGGUCCUUUAAGUCUGAUGUGAAAGCCCACGGCUCAACCGUGGAGGGUCAUUGGAAACUGGGGGACUUGUGUACAGAAGAGGAAAGCGGAAUUCCAAGUGUAGCGGUGAAAUGCGUAGAGAUUUGGAGGAACACCAGUGGCGAAGGCGGCUUUCUGGUCUGUAACUGACGCUGAGGCGCGAAAGCGUGGGGAGCAAACAGGGAUUAGAUACCCUGGUAGUCCACGCCGUAAACGAUGAGUGCUAAGUGUUAGGGGGUUUCCCGCCCCCUUAGUGCUGCAGCUAACGCAUUAAGCACUCCGCCUGGGGAUACGGCCGCAAGGCUG
rnacentral:rRNA from 1 species